UGCCCUGUAUAGUUGGCUGGUUUGGCUAGACUGGCUUGCAGUGACCUCCAGGGAUCCGCAUGUCUCUGCCCUCUAGCUUAAUGACAAUACUGGAAUUUUGGUUUUCUUUAAAAAAAAAAAAUACACACAGAGAGAAAUAUUAUAAUAAUAUUGUUUCAUUUUAAACCCAGAUAUGGAAUAUGGAGCUGCUUCAGAUUGUCCACAGCAUCUGACCAUGAUUUGCCUCAUGCACUAGCAGGGAUGUGAUUUUGCCAGCUGCAGAUACUUCCUGUGAUUGUGUGAUGUUUGGAAUUCUGUCAAGUUUUCAGAGGAUAUAUAAAUGCUAGGGUCCCAAAAGCAGGGUGGGGCUGGCUGGUGGUUGGUUGCUAUUGGUUGUUGGUGGUCAUGGUUUGUUAGGUAGUCAGGUGCAAAAGAAGAAACAACAAGAAGAAAUUAAAUAUCCUGAUGUUGAAGAUCAAACUUGCCCCAAGGAACUCAAUGCCCCUAAUUAGCGGGAAGUGGUCUAACAAUAAUGUCACCCUUUUUCCCCCUAUGCUUUUUUCUCUCCUGUCUAGUGUAGGGGGUUGAAAGGGUGGAAGAAAAGGUGUGGAGAAGAGUGGAAGUAAGAAGAACCCACAAAAUAGCUAAAGUCCAGCUACACAUAGCCUACCUCAGCACAGGGAUUACAGUUGCAUGCCACUGCGCCCCUUACACGGGUGCUGGGGAUCCAAACACAGGUCCACAGGCUUGUGCAGCCAACACUUUAACCAUUAAGCCAUCUCCCCAUCUCAUGUGCUUUUCUGAAUACAUUUCGAAGACACAGAACUACAGAGCUGGAAGGGUGUUAGAGAUCAGUCUAGGUUAAUCUUGUUUUGUAGUAAGGAUACUGAGGCAUACUAGAGAAAGUAAAAAACGUCCUGGGUACCAUUGUAUGCUGUUUGUUGUGCAUCUAAUGGGUUUGUGAUUGGCUCCUUCAAAGAGUGAGCCCUGAAGGGAAAGGAAGAGGGGCCGAUGGGUGGGUGGCGUGUGCUGUCAGUGGAGAAGGUUGGUAGCAUGUAUUGGCAAUUCUAAUCAAGUACUUACAAAAGUGCCAAAGGGAAAUGCCCAUUGCAAGAAUGGGUGGAGAGGGGAAGAUGAGGUAGAAUUUAUGAUAAAAAGCUGCUCUGAGCAUUUUUCCCUUAGAAAAUUUUAAAAUGUUAAAUGGUGAAUUCAAUGAAAUAGUGAAUUCUUCACUGCAUAAAGAAACCACUGGUGUUUAUGUGCUGCUUGCUAAUGCCUCCAAAGAGCUCCACUCCAAGGGAGUCAGAGAAGUCAGAGAGCUCAUAAAAUCCACAGAUACUGGACCUACCCUGCCCCACCAUCUUCAAGAAUAAGGGGUCAGAAAAGCACUGGAGAAGAAGCCAGCUGUGCCCAGAUGGCAGCAGCCUGUGGAAGUGUGUUCUGAGUUCUUCUGAACAGAGGCGCUCCUUGGGCUCAAGAAACCACCAUAGUUGAAAGUCUGCAUUCAUUUUGGGUAUCUGAAGAAAGACAGGGCUUCAUGGUUCAAUAAAAGGACCCCUGAAGAUUCUCAGGUCAAUUUCUCAGCCUCUCAUUCUCUCUGAAGGAGGGAUGUUCCAUUACCUCAAAGCAUAGAGGGAGAAAAGAGGCAAGCAUUUCUUUGAGUCUAGGAGCAACCCCGCACCAUCCAAGUAAAGGAAAAAAAGAAUGUAGAAGGUACCUAACGACCUCAUGCUUAGUUACUGGGGCUGUGGAUUUUCAGAGUAAGGAGCCCCCAGCUGGAAAGUAACAAUAUUGGGGUGCAUGGCUCAGAAAGUAGGCAGGACUGGAAGGCCACUAAGCUCUGGGCAUGCAGCCUGAGAUUGCAGCUAGGGUUCUGCCCACCAUCCCCACAUCUAAAGUUUUGUGAGAUAGCAGCCUAACACAUUUUUUAAAAAUGGUCCUUGCAUAAAAAUAAUUUUUCACCUCUCCCCACUGACUCAGAGGUGGUUGGGGACCCAGACUGGCUGCAGAGGGAAUAAGACCUCAUUUUACUUUGUGUCAGGGACAGUGAAUGUGACUUUGCUCUGUGGAGGAACCACUCGAAUUGUUCUGUCUUCAGCUCCAUGAACCCUAUUCUCUAACGGGGUUCUUUUCCUUGUUCUGGCCACGAGGAGGUCAGGUGGGUAGGAAGGGUUACAAUGGGUCCAAUGGCCGACUGAUCUAAAGACCGAUCCUCUCACUUCUUAAGAGUGUAUCCGCUUCCGUAGCUCACCAGCUCUCAGGCCUUCUGUCUGCAGUCCCUUCCUAUUCUUAGAAUGUCUCUAUUAAUCUUCAGUUAUGCCUGUUUGCAAAGCUCACCCUGACAGAGGGGAGGUAGGGCAUUCCAGUCUGUCAGUAUACAUGCAUACAUAUGUGAAAAAUAUGUAUGUGUAGACACACACACACACACACACACACACACACACACACACACAUAUAUAUAUAUAUAUACACAUACACAUAUACACACACACUGGUGUAUGUAUGUGUGUAUAUGUAUAUAUGUAUGUAUGUGUAUAUGUGUGUGUGUAUGUGUGUGUGUGUAUGUGUGUGUAUGUAUGUGUACUCAUAUAUUAUCACUUUCAGUCAUCUUCUGCUCUCUGUCUCUAUACCUUAAGUGAGAGCAAAGCUGUAGAGCAUUUUCACAGAGUCCUCACGGCAUUAAUGAUGCCCUCAACACUGUCAUGCACAGCCUUCUCUUAACUCUGUAGAUUCAGGUGGAUAAACACCAUCCUAUAUGCCAUUUAUAAAGAAUAGGUGUGCGUCUAUAAUCCCUGACUUGCUCAUGCUGUACAUUGGAUGUAGGUAUAUUUGACAGGAUGGUGCCUAUUAAGAGGCCUCCCCAUUAUCUGACGGGCUCAUGUUUGCCUUGUAUUUCUGAUACGCUUAGCUGCGCUGUUUGGAUGGGCCUUUGCCAGUGGCAUAUACUGUUUGGGGAGACUGUUCACAGCAUAUCUUAUGCAUUUUGUACCUGAACAGCACCACUGAACAGGAUUCAGGUGAAUUCCUGGUCAUGUCUGUACCUCAACUGGGAGGGAGUCAGCCAAAAUGCUUACAGACGCCUGGUAUUUGCCAGUAUGUCUGGAAGGGCACCCAAGGAAGGAGUUAGGUAACUUGUGAAUAUGACUUGUCCAGAAUGGGCAGAUCUCCAAGUCUGAGAAUUUAUAAAAUUUGUCUCAUUCAAAGAUCUGAGAGCAAUUGAUACCUGUCAACACUGGGAAGCAGCCAUGGAAGCCAGGGUGCAAAUGAUAGCCGAGCAGAAGCAGAACCCUACAGCAGCUAGCCGCUGGCCGUGGGUAGGAGUCCGAGUUGUCAUUGCCUUACUGUGACCAUGAGUUCAGCCCUAUGUCUUAGAAACCAUUGUAAG
rnacentral:lncRNA from 1 species